rnacentral:miRNA from 1 species
AUAGCCCCAAAUAAGUGUUUGUGGGGAAGCUGUGUAUUUAUCUCAAUACCCAGCUUCCCCACAAAGACUUAUUUGGGGCUAUUGCA